rnacentral:lncRNA from 1 species
UCACACACGACUAACUUACCACUUUGUGAUUUUAGAUCUAAUGAUUUCUAAACGUCUUGUGAGCACUCGCACACUCACAAGCCCACGAAAUGCCAGAAUUUUGGCAUUUCGGCUUUUGCCGAAUUGAACUAUGAGAGGGUGUUCGAUACACACCUGUUUCGCGAUGAAUGCUACUGAGAUCCCUUACGAUGUCCUACAAUUGAUUACCAUAAUUCUUAGAUUGCAACCCACAACAACCAAUCCCAAUAUUCAGCAA